UGAGGAAUAUUGGUCAAUGGGCGAGAGCCUGGACCAGCCAAGUCGCGUGAGGGAAUAAGGCCCUACGGGUCGUAAACCUCUUUGCCGGGGAGCAAGUCGGGGCUCGUGAGCCCUGAUGGAGAGUACCCGGAGAAAAAGCAUCGGCUAACUCCGUGCCAGCAGCCGCGGUAAUACGGAGGAUGCGAGCGUUAUCCGGAUUUAUUGGGUUUAAAGGGUGCGUAGGCGGGCUGGCAAGUCGGCGGUCAAAUGUCGGGGCUCAACCCCGGCCUGCCGUCGAAACUGCCGGCCUUGAGUGAGCGAGAAGCAGGCGGAAUGCGUGGUGUAGCGGUGAAAUGCAUAGAUAUCACGCAGAACCCCGAUUGCGAAGGCAGCCUGCCGGCGCUCAACUGACGCUGAGGCACGAAAGUGCGGGGAUCGAACAGGAUUAGAUACC
rnacentral:rRNA from 1 species